rnacentral:rRNA from 1 species
AGCAGUAGCCACGGGAAUACGUAGGGUGCAAGCGUUAAUCGGAAUUACUGGGCGUAAAGCGUGCGCAGGCGGUUCUAUAAGACAGAUGUGAAAUCCCCGGGCUCAACCUGGGAACUGCAUUUGUGACUGUAGAGCUGGAGUGCGGCAGAGGGGGAUGGAAUUCCGCGUGUAGCAGUGAAAUGCGUAGAUAUGCGGAGGAACACCGAUGGCGAAGGCAAUCCCCUGGGCCUGCACUGACGCUCAUGCACGAAAGCGUGGGGAGCAAACAGGAUUAGAUACCCCCGUAGUCCCUGUCUCUUAUAC